AAUUCACGAAAUGUUAAAUAGUUUAUUAUUCUGAAAUUAUUUAAUCUUGGUGUGAAUUCCCAACAAUUCCAUAUUCAUACUAUUCAAAGAAACGUGUGGAAUUGUUUCUCUUACAGGGCCAUGAUUUUUUUUUUUUUUUUUUCAGGACCACUAGUAAAUAAUUAGGUCUCCAGUCAACCCCUCUUUCUCAUAAAACUUUAAAAAACACUCCCCUCUUCAAAUUGAUUAAACAUCUAGCCUCUCUUUUUUCUCUCUCCACUCUUUGCUAGGGUUUUUGAGGGCCGCCUUCUCUAUUCCCCAUCCAAGCGUGGUUUGAUGACGAUGCUAACUCAGAAAGUGUGGCUUUGACGGCGAUUCGCACUUAUCCAUAUUAGGUUUCAACAAUAAAGUGCUUCCAUAGUUUUAGAGGGAGAGGGAGGUUCCGUGAGAGACGCUGAACUGAGUUUCAACAUGUUCCUCGCUUUGUCGAGGUCCUCUGUUUAUCAGAGUUUGGAGAUGUCUCCAAGACGGUGUGGUUUUUAUACGAUGGUUUCCUUUUCUUAUCCAGUCUGUCGAUCUUGCCGGUUGCCUAGCCGGAGGGGCACAUGUGAGAAGAGGCUUGUAAAAUUGGGGUUUUUGAGCCUUGGAGGCAUAGAUACCUGAUUUAUGUCCAGCUUUCCUUUUGAUCCAGGGGUGCAGGUUUCUGCGGGCAAGCCUGUUUGUUGAAUUUUGUACAGAGCUCUAUGGUUUGGCUUAUUUUCGGGGUUAAGGGUUUGGGGCUUUGUAUACAGUUGUCUAGACUAUGGUGUUGUCGUUGGGUGGUGAGGAUGAUAAUGAUCUCCCAGUUGUGGGAUGCCUUUUACCGAGUUUUUUUUAUUACUUUCAGACGCUCUUAGGCUGGUCGACGGUUAGGGUUCACUGGUCGACGACAUGUUUGAUUGCGUGGGAGGCUUUGCUGUUGCCGAUGUGUCUCUUGCAUGCUUAUUGGUGGGGUCAGACAGACCAUGGGCACGUGCGGAUUCAUAGUCUGUUUAUGGCCCACCACUUUGACUUCUUUAUUAGGCAGGUAAAGCCUAUAGGCUUAGUUUUCAAAGUCUUUAUUUGCGUGGUUCUCCUUGCGUAUCGUUUCUUAGCCUCUGAUGUACUUCAAUGUCGUGCCUUUCUUGAGUUGUCUUGAUGCUAGCACUCUCAUUUUCUCUGAUACCCUUUAAAGCUUAAGGUUUUUAUUAACCUUGCUGGGUGUCAGUCUUGUUGUGUGGGUUUUAUGUCUCAUGUGUUCUUUGCUGUAUCAGUGGUUCAUUGAUCUUGCCGUGUAGAUGCUGCAUGGCAUUUUUUUGUCAGGGUAAAAAAUAAAAUAAAAUUUUAAAUUGAUUGA